CUGCAAACAAUUACAAAUGGGUUUAAGCGCCCAGUUCUUCCAAAGAGUGUGGUUACAGUCUGCAUCUGACACAAGCCUGACCAGGGCUUCUGAAUGGUCAGGGCACAGCGCAGGAUGGAUUCACUGUCCCUGUUCAUCUACUUCUGUGCCAUUGUGGUGAUACCAUGCUGCGGAUUCACUUUGGAUACAGAACAACCAAUCAUCUUCCAAGAAGCAGUCAAUAGCUUUGGACAAAGCGUAGUGCACUUUGGAGCAGGGGCAGAUGCGGGGGUGUUGGUCAGUGCCCCACUGCAGAAGGGGGACGUGAAUGAAACAGGAAAACUCUACAAAUGCCAGCAGAAGACAACCAAAGCAAGUAGAUGCCAAGAAGUCACUGUGCAAAGUA
rnacentral:lncRNA from 1 species